rnacentral:rRNA from 1 species
GAUGAACGCUGGCGGCGUGCCUAAUACAUGCAAGUCGAGCGAACGGACGAGAAGCUUGCUUCUCUGAUGUUAGCGGCGGACGGGUGAGUAACACGUGGAUAACCUACCUAUAAGACUGGGAUAACUUCGGGAAACCGUAGCUAAUACCGGAUAAUAUUUUGAACCGCAUGGUUCAAAAGUGAAAGACGGUCUUGCUGUCACUUAUAGAUGGAUCCGCGCUGCAUUAGCUAGUUGGUAAGGUAACGGCUUACCAAGGCAACGAUGCAUAGCCGACCUGAGAGGGGGAUCGGCCGCACUGGAACUGAGACACGGUCCAGACUCCUACGGGACGCAGCAGUAGGGAAUCUUCCGCAAUGGGCGGAAGCCUGACGGAGCAACGCCGCGUGAGAGAUGAAGGUCUUCGGAUCGUAAAACUCUGUUAUGAGUGAAGAACAUAUGUGUAAGUAACUGUACACAUCUUGACGGUACCUAAUCAGAAAGCCACGGCUAACUACGUG